CUACGGGAGGCUGCAGUGGGGAAUAUUGCACAAUGGGCGCAAGCCUGAUGCAGCCAUGCCGCGUGUAUGAAGAAGGCCUUCGGGUUGUAAAGUACUUUCAGCGGGGAGGAAGGGAGUAAAGUUAAUACCUUUGCUCAUUGACGUUACCCGCAGAAGAAGCACCGGCUAACUCCGUGCCAGCAGCCGCGGUAAUACGGAGGGUGCAAGCGUUAAUCGGAAUUACUGGGCGUAAAGCGCACGCAGGCGGUUUGUUAAGUCAGAUGUGAAAUCCCCGGGCUCAACCUGGGAACUGCAGCUGAUACUGGCAAGCUUGAGUCUCGUAGAGGGGGGUAGAAUUCCAGGUGUAGCGGUGAUAUGCGUAGAGAUCUGGAGGAAUACCGGUGGCGAAGGCGGCCCCCUGGACGAAGACUGACGCUCAGGUGCGAAAGCGUGGGGAGCAAACAGGAUUAGAUACCCUCGUAGUC
rnacentral:rRNA from 1 species